rnacentral:rRNA from 1 species
GACGAACGCUGGCGGCGUGCUUAACACAUGCAAGUCGAACGAAGUGGCGCACGGGUGAGUAACGCGUAAUCAACCUGCCCUUCAGAGGGGGACAACAGUUGGAAACGACUGCUAAUACCGCAUACUGAAGGAGGGGAUUGCGUCGGAUUAGCUAGUUGGAGGGGUAACGGCCCACCAAGGCGAUGAUCAGUAGGCGGUCUUGGAGGAGGGACCGCCAAAAUGGGACUUAGGCACGGCCCAGACGCCUACGGGAGGGAGCAGUGGGGGAUUAUCCGCAAUUGACGAAAGUCUGACGGAGCAACGCCGCGUGAGGGAAGACGGGCUUCGGGUUGGAAAGCUCUGUUAAUCGGGAAGCGGUACCGGAAUAGAAAGCCACGGCUAACUACGUGCCAGCAGCCGCGGUAAUAC